rnacentral:rRNA from 1 species
GACGAACGCUGGCGGCGUGCUUAACACAUGCAAGUCGAACGAUGAAGCCGGAGCUUGCUCUGGUGAAUUAGUGGCGAACGGGUGAGUAACACGUGAGUAACCUGCCCUUGACUCUGGGAUAACUGCGGGAAACUGUAGCUAAUACCGGAUACGACCCUCGGAGGCAUCUCCUGGGGGUGGAAAGAACUUCGGUCAAGGAUGAGCUCGCGGCCCAUCAGCUUGUUGGUGAGGUAAUGGCUCACCAAGGCGACGACGGGUAGCCGGCCUGAGAGGGUGACCGGCCACACUGGGACUGAGACACGGCCCAGACUCCUACGGGAGGCAGCAGUGGGGAAUAUUGCACAAUGGGCGAAAGCCUGAUGCAGCAACGCCGCGUGAGGGAUGAAGGCCUUCGGGUUGUAAACCUCUUUUAGCAGGGAAGAAGCGAAAGUGACGGUACCUGCAGAAAAAGCACCGGCUAACUACGUGCCAGCCGCCGCCGUAA